GCACGGGGGGCCUACGGGAGGCAGCAGUGGGGAAUUUUCCGCAAUGGACGAAAGUCUGACGGAGCGACGCUGCGUGAAGGAUGACGGCCUGCGGGUUGUAAACUUCUUUUCUCGAAGAAGAAUAAAUGACGGUAUUCGAGGAAUAAGCAUCGGCUAACUCUGUGCCAGCAGCCGCGGUAAGACAGAGGAUGCAAGUGUUAUUUGGAUUGAUUGGGCGUAAAGCGUCUGUAGGCGGUUUGGAAAGUCUUUUGUGAAAUUCUUCAGCUCAANUGGGGGUCCGCAAAAGAAACUUCUAAGCUUGAGGGAAGUAGAGGUAUAGGGAAUUUCCGGUGGAGCGGUGAAAUGCGUAGAUAUCGGAAGGAACACCAAUAUGGCGAAGGCACUGUACUGGGCUUUACCUGCCGUUAAGAGACGAAAGCUAAAGGAGUGAUUAGGAUUAGAUACCCUAGUAAUUUUACCCGUAAACGAUGGAAACUCACUGCCGAGCCGGUAUUCGGAGCGGUGGUCAAGCUAACGCG
rnacentral:rRNA from 1 species